rfam:Spinacia oleracea cultivar SynViroflay scaffold1510.con0002.1, whole genome shotgun sequence.
AAUCUUCAGAUGAUGAUGUUGGAUUUAUAUUCUCACGACGGUCGUCUGAGGCACUUAUUAGUGUCGUUUUGAUGUAUUAUGAUCCAAUUGUCUGAUGAUU